GCCAGCAUGGCAUAGUGGUUUGAGUGUUUGACUACGACUCUGGAGACCAUGGUUCGAUUCUCACUUCAGUCA